GCAGUCGAACGAAGGAACGAAUAGCUUGCUAAUUGUUUCCUUAGUGGCGAACGGGUUAGUAACGCGUGAGCAACCUGCCUUGAAGAGGGGGAUAGUCCUGGGAAACCGGGUUUAAUACCGCAUGUGACCUUCGGGUUAAAGGUGCCUUCGGGUGCCGCUUCAAGAUGGGCUCGCGUCCUAUCAGCUUGUUGGUGAGGUAACGGCUCACCAAGGCAAUGACGGGUAGCUGGUUUGAGAGGAUGAUCAGCAACACUGGAACUGAGACACGGUCCAGACACCUACGGGUGGCAGCAGUCGAGAAUCAUUCACAAUGGACGAAAGUCUGAUGGUGCAACGCCGCGUGGAGGAUGAAGGCCCUAGGGUCGUAAACUCCUGUCAUAUGAGAGUAAGGCAUAUGUGUUAAUAGCAUGUAUGUUUGAUAGUAUCAUAAGAGGAAGGGACGGCUAACUUCGUGCCAGCAGCCGCGGUAAUACGAAGGUCCCGAGCGUUGUUCGGAAUCACUGGGCGUAAAGGGAGCGUAGGCGGCAUGGUAAGUCAGAUGUGAAAUCCCGGGGCUCAACCCCGGAACUGCAUCCGAUACUGCCUUGCUAGAGUAAUGGAGGGGUAACUGGAAUUCUCGGUGUAGCAGUGAAAUGCGUAGAUAUCGAGAGGAAGACCAACGGCGAAGGCAGGUUACUGGACAUUUACUGACGCUGAGGCUCGAAGGCCAGGGGAGCGAAAGGGAUUAGAUACCCCUGUAGUCCUGGCAGUAAACGGUGUGCGCUUGGUGUAGGUGGGUUCGACCCCAUCUGUGCCGGAGCUAACGCGUUAAGCGCACCGCCUGG
rnacentral:rRNA from 1 species